rnacentral:rRNA from 1 species
GACGAACGCUGGCGGCGUGCUUAACACAUGCAAGUCGAACGGAAAGGCCCCCCUCUUGGUUGGGGUGCUCGAGUGGCGAACGGGUGAGUAACACGUGGGUGAUCUGCCCUGUACUUCGGGAUCAGCUUGGGAAACUUGGUCUAAUACCGGAUAUGACCAUGGUUUAGUGUCUCAUGGUGGCCAGAUUCUUUUUUUUGUGCAUGAUGGGCUCGCGGCCUAUCAGCUUGUUGGUGGGGUAAUGGCCUACCAAGGCGUCGACGGGUAGCCGGCCUGAGAGGGUGGACGGGCAAAUUGGGACUGGGAUACGGCCCAGACGGGUACGGGAGGCAGCAGAGGGGAAUAUUGCACAAUGGGCGCAAGCCUGAUGCAGCGACGGCGCGUGGGGGAUGACGGCAUUCGGGUGGUAAACUCCUUGCGAUAGGGACGAAGCAACGCUUUUUGGGUGGGGUGACGGUACCUUUGUGAAGAAGCACCGGCUAACUACGUG